rnacentral:rRNA from 1 species
UUCCGGUUGAUCCUGCCGGACCCUACUGCUAUCGGGGUGGGACUAAGACAUGCGAGUCGUGCGUCUCUAAGCCAUGGUAGAGACGCGGCAUACGGCUCAGUAACACGUGGCUAACCUACCCUUAGGACGGGGACAACCCCGGGAAACUGGGGCUAAUCCCCGAUAGGUGAGGAGGCCUGGAAUGGUUCUUCGCUGAAAAGGCGUUGAAACCAUGCUUUUCAACGUCGCCUAAGGAUGGGGCCGCGCCCGAUCAGGUUGUUGGUGGGGUAACGGCUCACCAAGCCUAUAACCGGUACGGGCCGUGAGAGCGGGAGCCCGGAGAUGGGCACUGAGACAAGGGCCCAGGCCCUACGGGGCGCAGCAGUCGCGAAAACUCCGCAAUGCGCGAAAGCGUGACGGGGCUACCCCGAGUGCCGUCCGCUGAGGAUGGCUUUUCCCCGGUGUAAUGAGUCGGGGGAAUAAGGAGAGGGCAAGUCUGGUGUCAGCCGCCGCGGUAAUACCAGCUCUCCGAGUGGUAGGGACGAUUAUUGGGCUUAAAGCGUCCGUAGCCGGCUUAGCAAGUCUCCCUGUUAAAUUCAGCGACCUAAUCGUUGAGCCGCGGGAGAUACUACUAGGCUAGGAGGCGAGAGAGGCCGACGGUAUUCCCGGGGUAGGGGUGAAAUCCUAUAAUCCCGGGAGGACCACCAGUGGCGAAGGCUGUCGGCUAGAACGCGCUCGACGGUGAGGGACGAAAGCUGGGGGAGCGAACCGGAUUAGAUACCCGGGUAGUCCCAGCUGUAAACGAUGCGGGCUAGGUGUUGGGGUGGCUACGAGCCACUUCAGUGCCGCAGGGAAGCCAUUAAGCCCGCCGCCUGGGGAGUACGGCCGCAAGGCUGAAACUUAAAGGAUUGGCGGGGGAGCAC